GGGGUCGUGGCCUAGUCUGGUUUAUGGCGGCUCCCUGUCACGGAGAAGACCGCGAGUUCAAAUCUCGUCGACCCCG
rnacentral:tRNA from 1 species